rnacentral:misc_RNA from 1 species
CCCUUCCAAAACCUUUGCAUUAGAAAGGCUCCCUUUUAGCACUUUGAUAUCAAAUUUUAUGUUCCUUAUCUUCUUAUAUUGCGAAUCUAAGCGAUCAAAACGCAAUCUAACAUUUUGCAAGUUGAUGGAAGAUGUCGUUUGGCUUCAAAACGUUGCAAAGGAAAGCAAUCGAAACCCCUGCAAGAGUUGCUGUCAAAUUGCAAUCUCACAUUCCCAGUUAUCAUCAAAAUCUAGCUUAAUAAACUUCAGCGGAGGGGGGGAACACAUUAAACAGUCAGAUAAGGAAAGGAAAAUUAGGGCUUUCAUCGUAAGGAGCUUCAUUGCAGAGUACUCAUAAAGAAAUAAAUUUUGUCAGUUCAACUCGCUGAUAGUUUGGAGAAUGCGGUCAGAUAUGUUGGUGUAUCAAACCAAAGGAUCGCCAUAUGUAACUGACUUAUAAAUGCUAAGCAAAGUCACAUUAAACGCAGCUUUGUCAUCAUUUGUUCUUCACUAAAUUGAAAUGCAAUCUUCAAAAAUUAAAGAUGCGAUAUGUACUCAAAAGAAAAUUGUAAUUCGAUUGAGCAACUACUUUUGAAAAAGAAAAUACAAAGCUUGACAUUGAAAUGGAAUAUCGGAAAAUAAAGCAAGAAUUGGAAUUGAAAAUGACAGAAUAAUCGUAAAAUGCAAGGCUGAAUUGAAUUGAUUGAGCUAAUGCUGAUCGAUUGAGUUGUUUGGAUGAAUUGCAAACAUCUUAUCAAAUACAGUCUCACUUUAUAAAGAAGCGCAUCGACAUUAAAAAAUUUAUAUGCGUAUUAUGAUAUUCUAUAGAAGUAGAUUGUUCUCCAUAGGAGAUGGAGAAUCCCAUAAAAAAUCUAUAUGCGUAUUACUAGUUCGCUAAUUACCCAGUCAGUUCUUACUUACGAGUUUACAGGGGAUUUUUGAAAGAGUUCUACAAGCAGAUCUACAAGCAGAUCGGACUGGCUCAAACUCCAAUUCUCAGUUAAACUAGUCCAAUCGCCUGGUUCAAUCCAGAUUUGACAACUAUGACUCUAACCACAAUCAAUCUCAGCUUGAAAGGAUCCAAAGAGAGCCAUCGCUAGCAAGAAACAAGACUAAUCCCUGCCUAGUUAUAUAACCAAGAUUUACAACUUACAAUGGAGGAAACGGUUUAAUACAUUUACAGAUCUUCAUAGAGAUUUUAAGAUCAUGUCACGUACCUAGCCUUUUUGCACCACAUUCUGAGCAGAAUUUAGAGGUUUCUCUAAGAUAUGGAGAACCACAUUCAUCACAAAACUUUGCCGGGCUUGUAGGCAUUAAAUGCAAGCGCCCUCCAACAUGACCUCCUGUGAGGGGUUGUAAGUAAGCCAUGUGUUGUGGAAUGCCAGGAGACUGAUUAGCAUGGGCGAUUUCAGGCAAGUGUGAAGUUGGUCCACAUUGUUGACUUUGAGAAAACUGGGUUGCAUGUUGACUUUGGUGAACUUGAUGAUGGUUCUGAUGAAUUGGGUGAAACUGAGGCUGAUGCGACAAAGAAUCAACGUGAUGCUUCGAAGGAGUCUGCUGCUCAUUUUGUGGAGAUCUAAAUCCUUGUGCAGUAGCAAUCGUAGAAGAAUUGUCAGUAGCAGGAAGUGUUGGCAAACCAGGAAUGUUGGACACAGGACGUCUAUACUUGUGCCUUGGAGAGUAGAAUUUAUAGUCUCGAGCAGAGACAACAACCUCAUUCCGACCUGUCAAUCUUUUAAACCACUCAGCAUCUUCAAUGGGCACAUUGUCAGGUUUCUCAAUUAUAUCCAAACCAUUGACCACCACAAAACGUACUCUCUUCUCUUCCUGUAUUACUAGUUCUGGGAAUCGUGUCCUUGUCUCUAAAGAAGUUGCCAAUUCUCUUCUUUUAAAUACACAAGAACCCUUUUUAGGAAAUUUCUUAGCCAUUCUUCUGUACAAACCACCCGCUGCUUCAAGGGCUACUCCAAUGGUCUUAUCUCGAAUACCAUUCAAAGAAGCCAGCCUCAUAUUUACAUCAUGCACUAGUGUUUCAUACAUAUUUGCAACAUACAUCAAGGGCAAAGCAAACCUCGGAUCACCUUCAUAUUGCACGUCUCCUGAUUUCCUUUUACUCAAUUUGUCUUGUCCUGAGUGAGCAACACAUUCAGCCUCAUUAUCAGCCACUUCAACCACAUGAUCACUUAUGAAGUGAUCCACAAUUAUUUGCAAAAAUCUUGCCCUGGCAGACUCAAUAGGCGAAACAUCUAGUUCAAGAUCCAAUAGAAACGAGUUAAUGUAACUUAAGACCAAAAUGGUCAAGAACAGUUUCAUAUAAAAUCUAACUAAGAAUGUCAUUAGGAUACGUCCGUUUAAUUUGAACAUGUGUUGACUUGUACCCUCAAUGGUCAAUAUAUCAUAGGCAACUCUUGAAGAACCAUUGUUCUCAAGACUAGGUCGAUCUUCUUCCACUCCAACACCGUGAAGUGGUAAGGAAUUCCUGUAGGAUUCAUGCAUGCAGUCAACAGCAGCAUUGGAAUCAUCGUCGGCAUCCAAGCUAUCAUCGGCGUGGCUAUCAACGGCAUCCCCAAUGGCAUCGAGAUUAUUGGGGCGGGAAUCGACGGUGUUAAGAUCAUGCAGCGAGCUACCGAUGAAGGAAUUCGCAGAUCUCAAGUUGUACUGUUGCACAGGAACCCUACUCCCCAUUCUUCUCUCUCUGAGCGGCUGAGCUUUCGAAAGAGAAAAGGGGACGCAUCCAAGCCUCACUCCGGCCUCCACACCUGCUCCCGAGCCGGUGGGGC